rnacentral:rRNA from 1 species
UACGUAGGGGGCGAGCGUUGUCCGGAAUCAUUGGGCGUAAAGCGCGUGUAGGCGGCCCGGUAAGUCCGCUGUAAAAGUCAAAGGCUUAACCUUUGAAUGUCAGUGGAUACUGCCGGGCUAGAGUCCGGAAGAGGCGAGUGGAAUUCCUGGUGUAGCGGUGAAAUGCGCAGAUAUCAGGAGGAACACCAAUUGCGAAGGCAGCUCGCUGGGACGUUACUGACGCUGAGACGCGAAAGCGUGGGGAGCAAACAGG